rnacentral:lncRNA from 1 species
GUCUAGAAUCAUCGAAACGACCCUUCAUUUGGGUUGUUCGACACAUGUCAGAUGAGUUCAAAAAAUGGCUAGCGGAAGAAAAUUUUGAGGAAAGAAUUAAAAGACAAGGACUUUUAAUCCAUGGUUGGGCGCCACAAGUACUAAUAUUAUCUCACCCCUCAAUUGGGGCAUUCUUGACGCACUGUGGAUGGAAUUCGAACCUGGAAGGUAUAUCUGCUGGUGUGGCGAUGAUCACUUGGCCAUUAUUUGCUGAGCAGUUCUGCAAUGAGA